AGCGAACGCUGGCGGCAUGCUUAACACAUGCAAGUCGAGCGGGCACUUUCGGGUGUUAGCGGCGGACGGUUGAGUAACGCGUGGGAACUUGCCCUCUGGUUCGGAAUCACUCAGGGAAACUUGAGCUAAUACCGGAUACGCCCUUUUGGGUAAAGGCUUUCUACCGGAGGAUCGGCCCGCGUCUGAUUAUCUAGUUGGUGAGGUAACGUCACACCAAGGCGCCGAUCAGUAGCUGGUCUGAGAGGAUGAGCAGCGACACUGGUACUAAGACACGGCACAGAAUCUUACGGGAGGGAGGAGAGGGGAAUAGUGGAAAAUGGGCGCAAGCAUGAUCGAGCCAGGACGCGUGAGUGAUGAAGGCCUUAGGGAUGUAAAGCGCUUUUAUCCGGGACGAUAAUGACGGUACCGGAGGAAUAAGCCACGGCUAACUACGUG
rnacentral:rRNA from 1 species